GAUGAACGCUGGCGGCGUGCUUAACACAUGCAAGUCGAGCGAAGCGGUUAAGAAGAUUCUUCGGAUGAUUCUUAACUGACUGAGCGGCGGACGGGUGAGUAGCGCGUGGGUGACCUGCCCCAUACCGGGGGAUAACAGCUGGAAACGGCUGCUAAUACCGCAUAAGCGCACAGAGCUGCAUGGCUCGGUGUGAAAAACUCCGGUGGUAUGGGAUGGGCCCGCGUCUGAUUAGGCAGUUGGCGGGGUAACGGCCCACCAAACCGACGAUCAGUAGCCGGCCUGAGAGGGCGACCGGCCACAUUGGGACUGAGACACGGCCCAAACUCCUACGGGAGGCAGCAGUGGGGAAUAUUGCACAAUGGGGGAAACCCUGAUGCAGCGACGCCGCGUGAGCGAAGAAGUAUUUCGGUAUGUAAAGCUCUAUCAGCAGGGAAGAUAAUGACGGUACCUGACUAAGAAGCCCCGGCUAA
rnacentral:rRNA from 1 species